GAUGAACGCUGGCGGCGUGCCUAAUACAUGCAAGUCGAGCGAACAGACGGGGAGCUUGCUCCUCUGACGUUAGCGGCGGACGGGUGAGUAACACGUGGAUAACCUACCUAUAAGACUGGGAUAACUUCGGGAAACCGGAGCUACUACCGGAGAAUAUGUUGAACCGCAUGGUUCAAUAGUGAAAGACGGUCUUGCUGUCACUUAUAGAUGGUUCCGGGCCGCAUUAGCUAGUUGGUAAGGUAACGGCUUACCAAGGCAACGAUGCGUAGCCGACCUGAGAGGGUGAUCAGCCACACUGGAACUGAGACACGGUCCAGACUCCUACGGGAGGCAGCAGUAGGGAAUCUUCCGCAAUGGGCGAAAGCCUGACGGAGCAACGCCGCGUGAGUGAUGAAGGUCUUCGGAUCGUAAAACUCUGUUAUUAGGGAAGAACAAAUGUGGAAGUAACUAUGCACGUCUUGACGGUACCUAAUCAGAAAGCCACGGCUAACUACGUG
rnacentral:rRNA from 1 species